UACGGGGGGGCAAGCGUUGUUCGGAAUUACUGGCGUAAAGCGCACGUAGGUGGCGACGUAAGUCGGGUGUGAAAGCCCCGGGCUCAACCUGGGAAUUGCAUUCGAGACUGCAUUGCUGGAGUACGGAAGAGGAAGGCGGAAUUCCCGGUGUAGCGGUGAAAUGCGUAGAUAGUCGGGAGGAACAUCAGUGGCGAAGGCGGCCUUCUGG
rnacentral:rRNA from 1 species